rnacentral:rRNA from 1 species
UACGUAGGUGGCAAGCGUUGUCCGGAUUUAUUGGGUUUAAAGGGUGCGUAGGCGGUCUUUUAAGUCAGUGCUGAAAUACUCCAGCUUAACUGGAGGGGUGGCAUUGAUACUGGGAGACUUGAGUGUAGUCGAGGUAGGCGGAAUUGACGGUGUAGCGGUGAAAUGCUUAGAUAUCGUCAAGAACACCGAUAGUGAAGACAGCUUACUAGGCUACAACUGACGCUGAGGCACGAAAGUGUGAGGAUCAAACAGG